CGGGGGGAGCAAGCGUUGUUCGGAUUUACUGGGCGUAAAGGGCGCGUAGGCGGCGUGACAAGUCACUUGUGAAAUCUCCGGGCUUAACCCGGAGCGGCCAAGUGAUACUGUCGUGCUAGAGUGCGGAAGGGGCUACUGGAAUUCUCGGUGUAGCGGUGAAAUGCGUAGAUAUCGAGAGGAACACCUGCGGCGAAGGCGGGUAGCUGGGCCGACACUGACGCUGAUGCGCGAAAGCCAGGGGAGCGAACGGGAUUAGAUACCCCGGUAGUCCUGGCCUUAAACGAUGGAUACUUGGUGUCCGGGGUUACAUAGUCCCCGGGUGCCGGCGCUAACGCAUUAAGUAUCCCGCCUGGGGAGUACGGUCGCAAGACUG
rnacentral:rRNA from 1 species